rnacentral:misc_RNA from 1 species
CNGGAAAUUUCCUNCCGGAAUUCAGGCUUGGAGCCGCAGCUAACGUGGUACUGGCACUCCCGUCUCGACCCAGGCCUGCACAAAACCUCCAGGAUACGGAGGCGGGUCGUUUUUUUGCUUUUUCCUGGAUGGGAGCCAGUGCUGCGUCAAGCUUUAGAACACUCAGUUCUCGGGGCUGGGAGUGGCUCGCGCCCGUAGUCUGGAGAAUUAAUCGCCAGGGUUGCGUUGCGGUGUGCCCCGGUUCGAGUCUUAGCGCGCCGGAUCGGCCGGUUUCCGCGACGUUUCUAAGACCCCGCCAGCCGACUUCUCCAGUUUACGGGAGCGAGCCCUCUUUUUUUUUUUUUGUUUUUUGUUGCCCAAAUGCUUCCCGUGCU